rnacentral:rRNA from 1 species
CUAUGGUUAAGGAACUCGGCAAAAUACCCCCGUAACUUCGGGAGAAGGGGGACCUCGCUUGGUGACCGGACUUGCUCCGUGAGCUGAACGAGGUCGCAGAGACCAGUGAGAAGCGACUGUUUACUAAAAACACAGGUCCGUGCGAAGUCGCAAGACGAUGUAUACGGACUGACGCCUGCCCGGUGCUGGAAGGUUAAGAGGACCCGUUAACCCUUGGGUGAAGCGGAGAAUUUAAGCCCCAGUAAACGGCGGUGGUAACUAUAACCAUCCUAAGGUAGCGAAAUUCCUUGUCGGGUAAGUUCCGACCUGCACGAAUGGCGUAACGACUUCUCAACUGUCUCAACCAUAGACUCGGCGAAAUUGCACUACGAGUAAAGAUGCUCGUUACGCGCGGCAGGACGAAAAGACCCCGGGACCUUCACUAUAGCUUGGUAUUGGCGUUUGGUUCGGUUUGUGUAGGAUAGGUGGGAGACUGCGAAGCAGGCACGCCAGUGUUUGUGGAGUCAUCGUUGAAAUACCACUCUGAUCGUAUUGAACCUCUAACCUCGGACCGUAUAUCCGGUCCAGGGACAGUGCCUGGUGGGUAGUUUAACUGGGGCGGUUGCCUCCCAAAAUGUAACGGAGGCGCCCAAAGGUUCCCUCAACCUGGACGGCAAUCAGGUGUUGAGUGCAAGUGCACAAGGGAGCUUGACUGCGAGACCUACAAGUCAAGCAGGGACGAAAGUCGGGACUAGUGAUCCGGCACCUCUGAGUGGAAGGGGUGUCGCUCAACGGAUAAAAGGUACCCCGGGGAUAACAGGCUGAUCUUCCCCAAGAGUCCAUAUCGACGGGAUGGUUUGGCACCUCGAUGUCGGCUCGUCGCAUCCUGGGGCUGGAGCAGGUCCCAAGGGUUGGGCUGUUCGCCCAUUAAAGCGGCACGCGAGCUGGGUUUAGAACGUCGUGAGACAGUUCGGUCUCUAUCCGCCGCGCGCGUCAGAAACUUGAGGAAACCUGUCCCUAGUACGAGAGGACCGGGACGGACGAACCUCUGGUGUACCAGUUGUUCCACCAGGAGCACGGCUGGAUAGCUACGUUCGGACAGGAUAACCG